UUGGAGUGCUGCUUUGCCCCCCUCGGGGCUGCCGGGCUCCCUCCCCGACACCCGGGGAGGCGAUGGCCCCGGCUUCCUGCGAGCCCCUGGUCCCCGCAGGCGUGUCCGCAGCGCCGCGAGGGUUUCUUAAGAUGUCCACCGGAGUGUUAACCGUUGAAUAAAGCGUGAUUAUUCUGGAAGCCUAGCUGGGGUCGUGCCCUUUCAGAUUAGGCACCGGUCUGCUGGCCGAAGGGCU